CUUACUCUUUGAGAGCUCCGCGGGCGAGCGAGGUGUAGUUACGCUGAUGAGCGUAACUCCGCAGAAUCCUUAGCACCUUGUGAUUUGUGUACUUUGGGAAAACUUCUCGUGGCUCAGAUCUGGCCCUUCAACCACGGGCUGAGGACGUGCUUCCUCCUUGGCUGGUCCAUGAAGCAGGGGUUCCGUGGAGUGGAGCUGGCUGGUGCUGACUCACGUGGGAGACUUUGGACACCUUGGAUUCGGGAAUGAGAUGGCUCUGUAGCCUGUUCUUCAUGUUGCCUCUCUCUCUCUUUCUUUCUUUCUUUCUUUCUUUCUUUCUUUCUUUCUUUCUUUCUUUCUUUCUUAACAGUAAAUUACUGCCUUAAAAAGGAGGGGCUGGCGAGAUGGCUCAGUGGUUAAAAGCACCGACUGCUCUUCCGAAGGUUCUGAGUUCAAAUCCCAGCAACCACAUGGUGGCUCACAACCAUCUGUAAUGAGAUCUGAUGCCCUCUUCUGGUGCAUCUGAAGACAGCUACAGUGUACUUAGAUAUAAUAAUAAAAAAUAAAUCUUAAAAAAAAAAAAAAAAA
rnacentral:lncRNA from 1 species